UCAAGGCAUACCUGAUCUCUGUCUUCAUGGAAUUUAUAGUUUAGUUAAGGAGACAUAAUGACAGAGAAGGUGGAUUCAGGGGGCUUUGAAUACAGGUCAGGCAAUCCUUUCCUGAGUACUUCACAGGUAAAAUGCUUCAACAUCAUCAUUUUCAUUUGGUUCAACCAAAUAUACUAGUUAAAGGACAACACAUCAAUCUUAUCCAGAACCUUAUGAGAUUUUUCCAGCCUAACACCUUCUUGUGAUAAAUGGGAAAUGAAGGCCCAGAGAUUUCAGAAGACUUCCUCAAGGUACAGAGACGCCCUCAGCUGAAGCCACUACGUUGUUGCUGAGGCUUAGUUGUUGAGACUGGAAGUGAUUUGAAAAGUCUUCAAAUGGCCAUUUGUGGGAGUGCUCUACUUAGGUAGCAAGCUGUCAUUGCCACCACAGAAAUAACCUCUACUGAACUUUAUUGGGUCUCAAAUCUGAAUUGGAAAUUGUCCACUCACCCAUAAAUGGGUUUAUCAUGAAGUGAUUGAAGCUUAAGCUGCUUACAAGAUACCAGCAAUACGGUUGUUAUAAAUUCAGAGAGUACUUUACACAGUCCCUGCCAAGAAAACUUGAAUUGCCCUGAAAUCGUACAGGGCGAGACAUAGGAGGAUAUUCAAAUACCAAAGUAACUAUGGAAAUAGGAGGAACAAAGAAGAAUUCUUGAAAAUCUCUGGGUAAAGAUAAAAGAAAAACAGAACAAAGGAGAUCUCACAACAGGGGUUGUGACAGAUCUCCAUAUCGGAAGUCAGGAAGAUGAAGUGGAACGAAGCCAAAUCUCCACAUCCAGGGAGAUGGUCCAUAGAUUUCAACUACCCAGUUACCUUUCAGAUAACUCGCUCAGGAGAGCAGGACUGGAAACAUAUGAAAUAUAAAUUAAAUUCUCA